rnacentral:rRNA from 1 species
UCAGAUUGUCAGGCUGCAACUCGCCUGCAUGAAGUUGGAAUUGCUAGUAAUCGCGAAUCAGAAUGUCGCGGUGAAUACGUUCCCGGGCCUUGUACACACCGCCCGUCACACCAUGAGAGUUGGAAAUACCCGAAGCCUGUGAGCUAACAGUAAUGAGGCAGCAGUCGAAGGUAGAAUCAAUGAUUGGGGUGAAGUCGUAACAAGGUAAC